rnacentral:tRNA from 2 species
GCGAAGGUGGCGGAGUGGUCAAACGUGCUAGGUUGAGGGCCUAGUCCCUUAGUGGGUACGCAGGUUCGAAUCCUGUCCUUCGCA